rnacentral:lncRNA from 1 species
UACAGAUAAGGCAGACAAGGAAAUUGCCUCAUCUGUAUAUCUGGCAAAUAAAUUUAUAAUGGAGGGGGGGGAGAAAUGGAGAAAGCUAGCGGUGCGGGGGUAGAACACAUCCUUGCAUUUAAUUUCAAGUAAUGCAUGCUUUUCGAAUAAAAAAAAGUUGAAAGGUCAAAUGAAGUUCGAGUAGAGCAUUGAGGACCAAAAAUAAAAGUUUUGCAAAAUACAGCUAAGAUAAUCUAUUCAUGAGGUAGAAAAGUCUGAGUGUUUCAAAAUUUCAAAGUUUUGUAAACCGUUAAUUUAUAGUUGUAUAUAAAAAAGAAGAUGUGGUAUGAUUACCACUGAGACAACUGUCCACAAGAGACCAAAAUGACACAGAAAUUUACAACUAUAGGUCACUGUACGGCCUUCAACAAUGAGCAAAGCCCAUACCCCAUAGUCCGCUAUAAAAGGCCACGAAAUGACAAUGUAAAACAAUUCAAUGAGAAAACUAAUGGCCUUAUUUAUUUAUGACUGUUUUUUUUAAUUCAUGUCAACACAGAAGUGCUGAGUACUGGGCUGGUGAUACCCUCAGUAAAUAAAACCUCCACUAGCAGUAGCAUUUACCCAGUGGUUGUAAAUAAACUCAUCAUAUAUGCCAAGAAAUCUCUCCUGCAACAAUACGUCGCAAUGUCCUCACGGUCAUCACAAUGUAAACUUGAAAUGAAUAAUAAAGGAAUAUAAAUAAAUUAAAAGCAAUAGAAAAAAAUAUAGAUCUUAACUAAAUAAAAAAGGAAAAAGGAAAAGAAAUAAGAAUGAUGUGCCACCAAAAGCUGGAACAGGAGAAGAACAGCAAAGAGCGAACGCAAAGUUAUGGCAGUAAGGGACGACAUCAAAAGUUCAAUGAAGGAUAAAAAACUUAAUUCACAUAGUUUUUUCACUGACCCCCCCACCCCCCUCUUAACUUAAUUUGGGAAAAAUUGAUUGACCCAUAUAGAUUUAUGUAAAAAUCAAUGUCGGAUAACCACAUCUUGCAGCAGUUCAACCCCCCACCCCCAAACUAUUUGAAUUAAGUUUUUUAUCUUACAUUGAUCUUUUGAUGUCGUCC